UGGGGGCGCUCGCGGCGGCAGCGGGGGCGGUGGCCCCAACGGGAAAUCCGGGAAGGCUGCGGGGUUGGCACCGGCCACAAGGACCUCAAGGUCUAGCUGUGCUAAUGACUCAUAGUUUAUCUCAACCAUGUAUAAAGAAUACAGAAGAAGACUCCAGGAGGUUGGGGAGCCACUAGAGGAUUCCAUCCAGGACACCACAUUUAAUUGUUAUGAUGUCUUGUGCUCCUCUUGGCUGUGAGAGUUUCUCAGAUUUUCCUUGUAUUUGAUGACCUUGACAGUCCUUAGGAGUACUGAGAUGGAGGUUUCACGAUGUUGCCCAGGCUGGUCCCAAACUCCUGGCCUCAAGCUAUCCUCCUGCCUUGACGUUCGAAAGCACUGAGAUUUUCCUCUCUGUCCUGCCGCCAUGUGAAGAAAGAUGUGUUUGCUUCCCCUUCCACCGUGACUGUAAUUUUCCUGCAGCCUCCCCAGCCAAGCUGAACUGUGAGUCAAUUAAAC